CUCAUCAAUUUCCAAAUUCAUUUACUUGUGUGUUUACUUCGUUCCUCAGAUACUCUCUCCCAACUUCAGUUCCCAAAAUCUUUCUGCAAAACCCUAACUUCCCGGAUUCCUCCGUCAUAACCGCCAUUGCUGCGAAGCUUCACAAUUCAGCGGGAACUCUUCGAUGGACGCUCACUCUUCUCACCUCAACGCCGGAAACCGGUCUCGCCGCUCCCAGACUCCCUCCCCGUCUCACUCCGCCUCGGUCUCGGCCUCCGCCACUUCUUCCCUCCACAAACGCAAGCUCGCCGCGGCAAACGCGGCGGCGUCUGAUGAUCACGCGCCGCCCUCCUCCGCGACUUUCCUUCCCUCUUCCCUCUCAGCUGACACCCGCGACGCCGCCUUGACCUCCAACGACGACCUCGAGAGCAUCUCUGCUCGCGGUAACGACUCCGACUCCGAGUCAGAUCCCGAGGAAUCCGAGGAUGCGGUUGUCGACGAAGAAGAGGACGACUUCGCUCCCGAACAAGAUAAUGACUCGUCGAUCCGCACGUUCACGGCGUCUCGGCUCGAGUCCAGUUCUGGAGCCAGUGGUUCGGCUCGCAAUACUAAACUUAAGACGGAGAAUUCUGCGAUGAAGCUUGAGAGCUCUGAUGGCGGCAGAGAUGGUGGAGCCUCUGCGGUUGGAUCUGGAGCAAUUGGAACCUUUGGCGGGAGCUCGAUUUCUGGGUCGGUGGCGAAGGAUGAAUCUGUGAAGAUAUUAACAGAAAAUUUUCAGACUUGCGGGGCUUAUAUUGCGAGAGAAAAGAGUUUGAAGAGAGAGGAGGAAGCAGGACGACUCAAGUUUGUCUGUUACUCAAAUGAUGGCGUCGAUGAACAUAUGGUUUGUUUGGUGGGGCUGAAGAACAUAUUCGCAAGACAGUUGCCUAAUAUGCCCAAGGAGUACAUUGUUCGUCUUCUGAUGGAUAGGAAACACAAAUCUGUUAUGGUCCUCCAACGAAACCUAGUUGUAGGUGGUAUCACAUAUCGCCCUUAUCACAGCCAAAAAUUUGGAGAAGUAGCUUUUUGUGCAAUCACUGCAGAUGAACAAGUAAAAGGUUAUGGAACGAGGUUGAUGAAUCACUUGAAACAGCAUGCAAGGGAUGUUGAUGGACUAACUCAUUUUCUUACGUAUGCUGACAACAAUGCUGUUGGUUAUUUUAUCAAACAGGGGUUUACCAAGGAGAUUUACUUAGGCAAAGAGAUUUGGCAUGGGUAUAUUAAAGACUAUGAUGGUGGCGUUCUAAUGGAAUGCAAAAUCGAUCCAAAGCUUCCAUAUACAGAUUUAUCAAGUAUGAUUCGUCAGCAAAGACAGGCAAUUGAUGAAAGGAUAAGAGAGUUGUCGAACUGCCAAAUUGUCUAUCCAGGAAUUGAUUUUCAAAAGAAAGAAGCAGGGAUUCCUGGAAAGAUCAUCAAAGUUGAGGAUAUACCUGGUUUGAGGGAAGCAGGUUGGAUUCCAGAUCAGUAUGGGCAUACUCGGUUCAAAAUAUUUAAUACUUCUGACGGCACGACAAACCAAAAGCAGUUGACUGCAUUUAUGCGUUCGCUGUUAAAGCAGUCCUUACAUGACCAUGUUGAUGCUUGGCCAUUCAAAGAGCCAGUUGAUGCUCGUGAUGUCCCUGAUUACUAUGACAUCAUUAAUGAUCCUGUUGAUAUGAAAACCAUGUCAAAGAGGAUUGAGUCGGAGCAGUAUUAUGUAACAUUCGAUAUGUUUGUUGCUGAUGUGAGACGAAUGUUUAACAAUGCUAGAACUUACAACUCCCCGGAUACCAUAUAUUACAAAUGUGCUACCAGAUUGGAAGCCCACUUCCAGAGUAAAGUACAAGCGGGUCUCCAGUCUGGCGCUAAAGCCCAGUUUAAGUUGGGGCAAGACCACGGAUGACAAAAUACCACGAGACUUUAAUAAGGCGUCACAUUUGGAGAGAAUGCCACUGUAGAGAAUCUCCGAAACCACCGAGCUUUAUAGUACAUGUGAUCUGGCCUUUGGUCAUUUCGCCGGGUUGAAGUGUACAAAUAAGUGAGCACUGAUAAUAUCAAACCUUGGAGUGAAACAUAGGUAACAAGAACCCAUUAUUUGUCGCAAGGCCUGGUGGAGGAAACCUUGGAAGGAGACAAUUGGAUUCAGAGAAGAAUCUUUGUAAAAGGAAGUAGCUAAUAGUUUGGGGUUCGUUUGGGCAAAAAAAAAACCCAAUCUUUCCAAUACUCAUUUGUUUGGGCAAAAAACAGGUUGUUGGUUGGUUUUGUGGCAAAGGGUCAUCUAAAAGAAGUGCAAGCCGAUAAAGAAACACUUGGAAGAUCAGGAAAGGAAAGGAGAGGAGCUCGGAUGAAGCAGCUGUUGUGACCAGUUCUCAUAUAAGGAAAUGAUGUAUGAAGAUAAGUCGUGGCAGUCGGAAUCGUUUGUUGAAUACUCCAAGGCGCUCGCGUUAGCUGGACUGGUUUCCGGACCAAGAGCUCCUGUCAUUGCAUAUUUGAACUCGAGAACUCAGAUGGCAGAACUUCCAAACAACAACCAAGUAGCUUGAGAACCGAAUGAAUACCGUACCAAGCAUACUUUGUUGCACCACCAUGCAUACACUCUCUGUUCAGUGAAUGUUUCUUCAUUUGGGUUCUGUUUUUUAUUGGAUAAUUACGAUUGCAACGUUCAUUUUGACUUGAAAAAUCAAAAUGUAUACACAGUCUUUGGCCA